AUUGAACGCUGGCGGCGGGCCUAACACAUGCAAGUCGAGCGGAUGAAGGGGGCUUGCUCCCGGAUUCAGCGGCGGACGGGUGAGUAAUGCCUAGGAAUCUGCCUGGUAGUGGGGGAUAACGUUUCGAAAGGGACGCUAAUACCGCAUACGUCCUACGGGAGAAAGCAGGGGACCUUCGGGCCUUGCGCUAGCAGAUGAGCCUAGGUCGGAUUAGUUAGUAGGUGAGGUAAUGGCUCACCUAGGCGACGAUCCGUAACUGGUCUGAGAGGAUGAUCAGUCACACUGGAACUGAGACACGGUCCAGACUCCUACGGGAGGCAGCAGUGGGGAAUAUUGGACAAUGGGCGAAAGCCUGAUCCAGCCAUGCCGCGUGUGUGAAGAAGGUCUUCGGAUUGUAAAGCACUUUAAGUUGGGAGGAAGGGCAGUAAGUUAAUACCUUGCUGUUUUGACGUUACCGACAGAAUAAGCACCGGCUAACUUCGUGCCAGCCGCCGCAGUAAUAC
rnacentral:rRNA from 1 species